ensembl:snRNA U6 U6 spliceosomal RNA
GUGUUCUCACUUUAGCCACACAUAUACUGAAACUGGGAUGAUACAGAUAAGAUUAGCAUAGCCGUUGGACAAGGGUGACAAAUAAAUUCUUGAAGCCUUCCAUUAAAAA